GACGAACGCUGGCGGCGUGCUUAACACAUGCAAGUCGAACGGUGAAGCUCCAGCUUGCUGGAGUGGAUCAGUGGCGAACGGGUGAGUAACACGUGAGCAACCUGCCCCUGACUCUGGUAUAAGCGCUGGAAACGGCGUCUAAUACUGGAUACGAGAAGGGUCCGCAUGGGCACUUUCUGUAAAGUUUUUCGGUUGGGGAUGGGCUCGCGGCCUAUCAGCUUGUUGGUGAGGUAAUGGCUCACCAAGGCGACGACGGGUAGCCGGCCUGAGAGGGCGACCGGCCACAAUGGGACUGAGACACGGCACAGACUCCAACGGGAGGCAGCAGUGGGGAAUAUUGCACAAUGGGCGAAAGCCUGAUGCAGCGAAGCCGCGUGAGGGAUGACGGCCUUCGGGUUGUAAACAUCUUUCAGCAGGGAAGAAGCGAAAGUGACGGUACCUGCAGAAGAAGCACCGGCUAACUACGUG
rnacentral:rRNA from 1 species